rnacentral:lncRNA from 1 species
CACACAAAAAUAUGGGAAUCUAGCGAAAUUCUAGUUUUUUGGCCGAAAAACGCAAAAAAUGAGGAACGAUCAUGGCAGGGCGAUGACUAUGGUUCUUUAUGUCAUAUUUUCAGGCCCAGAAAAAUUUUAGACAAUCGGGGUCCGAGGGUCCUGGGACCACUUGGAAGGCGUGGGCUAUAGCACACGAAAAUAUGGGAAUCGGGCGAAAUUCUAGUUUUUUGGCCGUAAAAUACAAAAAAUGAGGAACGAUCAUGGCGGGGCGGGGACUAUGGUUCCUUAGGUCAUAUUUGAUGGCCUAGAAAAAUUUUAGGCGAUCAGGGUCCGGGAGUCCCGGGACAACUUGGAAGGCGUGGGAUAUAGCACACGAAAAUAUGGGAAUCGGGUGAAAUUCUAGUUAUUGGCCGUAAAAUGCAAAACAUGAGGACAGGGCAUGGCAAGGCGGUGACUAUGGUUCCUUAGGUCGUAUUUGAUGGCCAAAAAAAUAUUAGGCAAUCCGGCUCCGUGGGGCCCUACCCAUUGGGAAGGCAUGGGCUAUAGCACACGAGAAUAUGGGAAUCGUGCG